ACUUCUUCUUUUUUCUUGUUUUUCCUAAUUUGGAGUCACUGAAAACUAAACUGUGUUUUCAUAAAGCCCUACGAUUUAAAGCUAGACAACUUCAACUUCAGAAGAAAGUAACAGCCUCUUUACACACAUAAGCCACUUUCAUACCUGCCUGCUGCUGUAUGGACUUCAGAGUAAGGAGCUGAACUUCACAGGUGCCCUAACAUAGAUUCAACCAUGCAAAAGAGGACGAUGACCUAAGGCUCAGCUUUAGGGCAUGGUGGAGCAAUAAGAUGAAAAGAACCACAGUCACGGAUUAGGGCCAUGGAGCAGAGUUUCCUACUAACCUCAACUGCUUGCCUUAGAACCAUUCUAUGACAGAGAAAUGCAUGUCUGUAUUCCUUAAGCCACUGUAUUUUGGGAUCUCUUUGUUACAGUAGCUUAACCUUUAUCUGAACUAAUAUUAAUAUAUCCAUCAUCAAUUCCUUUUAAAUGUGUCAUUUUGUAAUUGUUAUAUAUAUGCAAUUGAGCAAAGUACAAAUAACUGGAUCUCUGCCCUGGCAAAAAAAAAGGUUGUAGGGGCGGGAUGCGAAAUGUAUUUCCCACAGGUAUAACUAGUGUUCAACAAUGGAAGAACUACAGGGUAUUUCUCUGGCAUCAAGAAAAUUUUUUUUUGCAUAACUGCAAGCUACUAUUUAACAUCUCUGCACCAUUACAGCGGUCUUUCAGCCCUACCACUUCUCAAAGAUGUUGAUAUUUGUUAGGUUGGUUGAGAAAUUCAUGUUCAAAAUAUCAGACUGGGCCUUAGAAAAAAAAGGCUCCGGGGAAAUGUACUUUACCACCGCCCAGGAGGCUCUUCGGUCCCACUCAAGAUGUUCAGAGCCAAGUUCUCCUGAUGAUUCCUUCCUAGAUUGAAUGGCUCCAGCACAAUACACCUUGUUAUCAUGAUCUCACUAGGUCUUACAGAGCUUGUCUCAAGAUUAUUUUUACAAGAGCCUUAUAAGAAAGACAAGAAGUGAGGAUUAUCAUUUCAUUACAGGGAUAAACUGAGACGUACAGUGACUUACAUCAGGUGACUUGGUGAGGCACUAGAAGCUGGAAUCAGUAACUGAUCCUCCAUGGAGAUAAAAUGCUCUGUCUACAACUAUAAUUCUUUGACAAUUAAUGCUACGUGUGCCAUGUUUUGCUUUGCCUCUUUUUCCUAAUUGGCAGAAAGAAAAAUCGAAGCACUAAAUUUGGGAGACACACAAUGCCAGUGUCUUCACAGGAAAACAUAAUUCUUUAAUACAUAAGCAGAACAGGGCCCCAACGAUCACAGCUCCAGCUUCUAAAACCCAACCACGGGGUUUUGCCUCACACCUGUAAAUGACAGCCAGCAGCACUGUGGAGAGAUGCUUCCACCUCCUGCGCUGGACAUUUCUGUGUGUGAUCCUGCCAGGCGUCACAAUAACUCUGCAUGUCUUCUGUAAGAGGAAAAUGGUUUCCCUUAGGAGCUUCAGCAUUCUCUCAGUCCCCUUGACUUUGUUCUCCAGACAAGACUGAGAAGCAAGAAAACUAGAAACUAGAGCAUGAAAGGGACUACAUCAUCCUGGAAAGUCACAUCCAAAAGACAUUCAGACCUAAAAGGACAACUGAAUAAAUAAAUAAGGCAGUGACAGG